AACAGGAUUAGAUACCCUGGUAGUCCACGCCGUAAACGAUGCUAACUCGUUUUUGGGUUUUCGGAUUCAGAGACUAAGCGAAAGUGAUAAGUUAGCCACCUGGGGAGUACGUUCGCAAGAAUGAAACUCAAAGGAAUUGACGGGGGCCCGCACAAGCGGUGGAUUAUGUGGUUUAAUUCGAUGAUACGCGAGGAACCUUACCAAGGCUUAAAUGGGAAUUGACAGUUUCAGAAAUGAGAUUUUCUUCGGACAAUUUUCAAGGUGCUGCAUGGUUGUCGUCAGCUCGUGCCGUGAGGUGUUAGGUUAAGUCCUGCAACGAGCGCAACCCCUGUCACUAGUUGCCAUCAUUAAGUUGGGGACUCUAGUGAGACUGCCUACGCAAGUAGAGAGGAAGGUGGGGAUGACGUCAAAUCAUCACGGCCCUUACGCCUUGGGCCACACACGUAAUACAAUGGCCGGUACAGAGGGCAGCUACACAGCGAUGUGAUGCGAAUCUCGAAAGCCGGUCUCAGUUCGGAUUGGAGUCUGCAACUCGACUCUAUGAAGCUGGAAUCGCUAGUAAUCGCGCAUCAGCCAUGGCGCGGUGAAUACGUUCCCGGGCCUUGUACACACCGCCCGUCAAGCCAUGGAAGUCUGGGGUACCUGAAGUCGGUGACCGUAACAGGAGCUGCCUAGGGUAAAACAGGUAACUAGGGCUAAGUCGUAACAAGGUAACC
rnacentral:rRNA from 1 species